rnacentral:rRNA from 1 species
GAAAUCAGACCGGUGGUACUAAGCGUACGACAAGUAGGGCGGGACACGAGAAAUCCUGUCUGAAUAUGGGGGGACCAUCCUCCAAGGCUAAAUACUCGUAAUCGACCGAUAGUGAACCAGUACCGUGAGGGAAAGGCGAAAAGAACCCCGGGAGGGGAGUGAAAUAGAUCCUGAAACCGUGUGCAUACAAACAGUAGGAGCCUCCUUGUGGGGUGACUGCGUACCUUUUGUAUAAUGGGUCAGCGACUUACAUUCAGUGGCAAGGUUAACCGAAUAGGGAAGCCGUAGAGAAAUCGAGUCCGAACAGGGCGAUAGUCGCUGGGUGUAGACCCGAAACCAAGUGAUCUACUCAUGGCCAGGAUGAAGGUGCGGUAACACGCACUGGAGGUCCGAACCCACUAAUGUUGAAAAAUUAGGGGAUGAGCUGUGGGUAGGGGUGAAAGGCUAAACAAACUUGGAAAUAGCUGGUUCUCUCCGAAAACUAUUUAGGUAGUGCCUCAAGUAUCACCAUCGGGGGUAGAGCACUGUUAUGGCUAGGGGGUCAUCGCGACUUACCAAACCAUUGCAAACUCCGAAUACCGAUGAGUGCGAGCUUGGGAGACAGACGUCGGGUGCUAACGUCCGGCGUCAAGAGGGAAACAACCCAGACCGCCAGCUAAGGUCCCAAAGAUUGGCUAAGUGGAAAACGAAGUGGGAAGGCUAAAACAGUCAGGAUGUUGGCUUAGAAGCAGCCAUCAUUUAAAGAAAGCGUAAUAGCUCACUGAUCGAGUCGUCCUGCGCGGAAGAUGUAACGGGGCUAAGCCAGUCACCGAAGCUGCGGAUAUCCGUAAGGAUAUGGUAGGAGAGCGUUCUGUAAGCCUGCGAAGGUGUCUUGUAAAGGAUGCUGGAGGUAUCAGAAGUGCGAAUGCUGACAUGAGUAGCGAUAAUGGGGGUGAAAAGCCCCCACGCCGUAAGCCCAAGGUUUCCUGUUCAACGUUCAUCGGAGCAGGGUGAGUCGGCCCCUAAGGCGAGGCAGAGAUGCGUAGCUGAUGGGAAGCAGGUUAAUAUUCCUGCACCGUCGUAUGAUGCGAUGGGGGGACGGAUCGCGGAAGGUUGUCUGACUGUUGGAAUAGUCAGUUUCUGCUUCAUAG